GGUUAAGCGACUAAGCGUACACGGUGGAUGCCCUGGCAGUCAGAGGCGAUGAAGGGCGUGCUAAUCUGCGAUAAGCGCCGGUAAGGUGAUAUGAACCGUUAUAACCGGCGAUACCCGAAUGGGGAAACCCAGUGUGAUUCGUCACACUAUCAUUAACUGAAUCCAUAGGUUAAUGAGGCGAACCGGGGGAACUGAAACAUCUAAGUACCCCGAGGAAAAGAAAUCAACCGAGAUUCCCCCAGUAGCGGCGAGCGAACGGGGAGGAGCCCAGAGCCUGAAUCAGCAUGUGUGUUAGUGGAAGCGUCUGGAAAGGCGCGCGAUACAGGGUGACAGCCCCGUACACAAAAGCGCAUGUGCUGUGAGCUCGAUGAGUAGGGCGGGACACGUGGUAUCCUGUCUGAAUAUGGGGGGACCAUCCUCCAAGGCUAAAUACUCCUGACUGACCGAUAGUGAACCAGUACCGUGAGGGAAAGGCGAAAAGAACCCCGGCGAGGGGAGUGAAAAAGAACCUGAAACCGUGUACGUACAAGCAGUGGGAGCACAGGUUUACCUGUGUGACUGCGUACCUUUUGUAUAAUGGGUCAGCGACUUAUAUUCUGUAGCAAGGUUAACCGUAUAGGGGAGCCGUAGGGAAACCGAGUCUUAACCGGGCGUUAAGUUGCAGGGUAUAGACCCGAAACCCGGUGAUCUAGCCAUGGGCAGGUUGAAGGUUGGGUAACACUAACUGGAGGACCGAACCGACUAAUGUUGAAAAAUUAGCGGAUGAUCUGUGGCUGGGGGUGAAAGGCCAAUCAAACCGGGAGAUAGCUGGUUCUCCCCGAAAGCUAUUUAGGUAGCGCCUCGUGAAUUCAUCUCCGGGGGUAGAGCACUGUUUCGGCUAGGGGGCCAUCCCGGCUUACCAACCCGAUGCAAACUGCGAAUACCGGAGAAUGUUAUCACGGGAGACACACG
rnacentral:rRNA from 1 species